UUGUUUUAGUUUUACCCUAAGUUCUAUCUCUCUCUCAUCCUGAUUCCCUCCCGAGUCCCGACUCUCUCACUCUCUCACUCUCUCAAACUUUCAGACCUUCCCUCGACUCCGAUCCCCUCACCAACCUUCCUUCCCUCGACUCCGAUCCCCUCACCAACCGUCGUUUCUCCUCGGCGAAUACAACGGGACCACCCUUGCCAUCGACAACAUCCCAGAGAACCCAGGCCAUCACCCUUGCCGGUCGAUUCUCUCCUCUUCGACAGCAACCCCGCCGUCGUGACUCCAUCACCCCAUCACCGUCGUGACCGCCAGAGAACCCAGGCCAUCAUCCCUCUAAAAUUUAGGUAAUUUUGAAUUAGGGUUUUGUUGUUAAUUUGAAUUUUGGGUGUAGGGAUUUUUAGGGUUUUUAAAUUGGAAUUUGGGAUUUUAGGGUUUUUCGAACUAGGUUACUACUAGAGUUAAUUUUCCAUUUGCAUGUUGAUAAGAUUUGUAAGAGGCUGUGUUUAACUUUAACCCUCUAUUUCGGAAAACAUGGUUGCAUUUUAUAGCUGUGCCUGUGCAUUUAUUCAGGUAUAACUGUGCCAAACAAUGUAAAGUUUCUGAUUUGAGAGGCAUGAAGUAUAACUAGGU
rnacentral:lncRNA from 1 species